rnacentral:rRNA from 1 species
AACGAACGCUGGCGGCAGGCUUAACACAUGCAAGUCGAACGCCCCGCAAGGGGAGUGGCAGACGGGUGAGUAACACGUGGGAACGUACCUUUUGGUUCGGAACAACUCAGGGAAACUUGAGCUAAUACCGGAUGAGCCCUUAGGGGGAAAGAUUUAUCGCCGAAAGAGCGGCCCGCGUUAGAUUAGCUAGUUGGUGAGGUAAAGGCUCACCAAGGCUACGAUCUAUAGCUGGUCUGAGAGGAUGAUCAGCCACACUGGGACUGAGACACGGCCCAGACUCCUACGGGAGGCAGCAGUGGGGAAUCUUGCGCAAUGGGCGAAAGCCUGACGCAGCCAUGCCGCGUGAAUGAUGAAGGUCUUAGGAUUGUAAAAUUCUUUUACCAGGGACGAUAAUGACGGUACCUGGAGAAUAAGCCCCGGCAAACUUCGUGCCAGCCGCCGCAGUAAUAC